UGUGUAGGCGGUUCUCUAAGUUUGGUGUGAAAUCUCCCGGCUCAACCGGGAGGGUGCGCCGAAAACUGGAGGACUGGAGUGCGGGAGAGGAGAGUGGAAUUCCUGGUGUAGCGGUGAAAUGCGUAGAUAUCAGGAGGAACACCGGCGGUGUAGACGGCUCUCUGGACCGUAACUGACGCUGAGACACGAAAGCGUGGGGAAGCAAACA
rnacentral:rRNA from 1 species